rnacentral:rRNA from 1 species
GAUGAACGCUGGCGGCGUGCCUAAUACAUGCAAGUCGAGCGAACAGACGAGAACCUUGCUCCUCUGACCUUAGCGGCGCACGGGUGAGUAACACGUGCAUAACCUCCCUAUAAGACUGGGAUAACUUCGGGACACCGUAUAUAAUAUCAGACAAUACAUUCAACCGCAUGCUUCAUUAGUAAAAGACGUUUUUGUUGUCAGUGUGGGAUGGGCUCGCGGCCUAUCAGCUUGUUGGUGAGGUAAUGGCUUACCAAGGCGACGACGGGUAGCCGGCCUGAGAGGGCGACCGGCCACACUGGGACUGAGACACGGCCCAGACUCCUACGGGAGGCAGCAGUGGGGAAUAUUGCACAAUGGGCGAAAGCCUGAUGCAGCGACGCCGCGUGAGGGAUGACGGCCUUCGGGUUGUAAACCUCUUUCAGCAGGGAAGAAGCGAAAGUGACGGUACCUGCAGAAGAAGCACCGGCUAACUACGUG